rnacentral:rRNA from 1 species
UACGUAGGGUGCAAGCGUUGUCCGGAAUCAUUGGGCGUAAAGCGCGCGUAGGUGGCCAUUUAAGUCCGCUGUGAAAGUCAAAGGCUCAACCUUUGAAAGCCGGUGGAUACUGGAUGGCUAGAGUACGGAAGAGGCGAGUGGAAUUCCUGGUGUAGCGGUGGAAUGCGCAGAUAUCAGGAGGAACACCAAUAGCGAAGGCAGCUCGCUGGGACGUUACUGACACUGAGGCACGAAGGUCAGGGGAGCAAACGGG